rnacentral:lncRNA from 1 species
UAGGACUCCCGAUCACCACAGUUUCAUCAAAGAAGAAGACUCCUAUCGGGAGUCUUCUUCCCGAUUUCUCCUGUUUUUUUUUUCUUUUGGGCUUGGGCUUGGGUCUUGAUAGUUGGGCUUGGGCUUGGGCUAUAACAGAGACCCUAAGGGACCUUCGGAGGCCAACUUAUAAGACUCUCAAUCUACGAUCAUGAGAUGUGCAUACACUGCCUACAGGCACAGGCUACCUCUCACGUGAAGAUAAGAUGUGCACACUGCCUAUGGGCAUACGCUAUUUGUCGCAUGAAGAUGAGAAGUACACAUGCUGCCUAUGGACACACGCUACCUCUCGUGCUUUGAGAAGUGCACACACUGCCUACGGGCACAUGCUGCCUCUUGCAUGAAGAUGAGAAGUGCACACACUGCUCCACUUAUAAGAUGAGCCGAGCACAUGUUGCCUCUCCCACUACCAAAAGUGUACAUGCUGCCUACGGGCACACGCUGCCUCUCGUAUGGAGAUGAGACGUGUACAUGCUGCUCUGCUCACAAGAUGAGCCGAGCGCACGCUUCUUCUCAUGCUAUGAGAAGUGCACACAUUGCCUUUUGCAUGAAGAUGAGAAGUGCACACGCUGCUCCGCUCACAAGAUGAGCCGAGCACAUGCUACCUCUCAUGCUACGAGAAGUGUACAUGCUGCCUAUGAGCACACACUACCUCUCGUAUGAAGAUGAAAAAUGCACACACUGCUCUACUCACAAGAUGAGCCGAGCACAUGCUACCUCUCACAUUAUGAGAAGUGCACACGUUGCCUCUCGC